AUUGGUGUUACUGCAUCAUCCCUAGCCCUAAUGGAAUUGGACAAGGAAGAACGGUGAUUGUAAACGACGAUUGGGCCUUGUUCUCUCCGGCGAUGACUGGAAUCAAACGCCGACGACGUUUAUUGUUCUAAAUCUUCUUAAACUUCAAACCAUCAAAGAUAAACAUAAUCCAAAACAAACCCUAUUAAAGAUUAAACAGAACAACG